rnacentral:tRNA from 1 species
GCCUGGCUGGCUCAGUCGGUAGAGCACGUGACUCUUGAUGUUGGGGUGGUGAGUUUGAGCCUCACGUUGGGUG